GACGAACGCUGGCGGCGUGCUUAACACAUGCAAGUCGAACGGAAAGGCCCUGCUGUUGUGGGGUGCUCGAGUGACGAACGGGUGAGUAACACGUGAGUAACCUGCCCUUUACUUUGGGAUAACUGCAGGAAACUGGGGCUAAUACCGGAUAUGAGCUCCUGCUGCAUGGUGGGGGUUGGAAAUUUUAGGCGGUGGGGGAUGGACUGGCGGCUUAUCAGCUUGUUGGUGGGGGAGUGGCUUACCAAGGCUUUGACGGGUAGCCGGCCUGAGAGGGUGACCGGCCACACUGGGACUGAGAUACGGCCCAGACUCCUACGGGAGGCAGCAGUGGGGAAUAUUGCACAAUGGGCGGAAGCCUGAUGCAGCAACGCCGCGUGCGGGAUGACGGCCUUCGGGUUGUAAACCGCUUUCGCCUGUGACGAAGCGUGAGUGACGGUAAUGGGUAAAGAAGCACCGGCUAACUACGUG
rnacentral:rRNA from 1 species